AAAACGACUCUCGGCAACGGAUAUCUCGGCUCUCGCAUCGAUGAAGAACGUAGCGAACUGCGAUACUUGGUGUGAAUUGCAGAAUCCCGUGAACCAUCGAGUCUUUGAACGCAAGUUGCGCCCGAAGCCAUUAGGCCGAGGGCACGUCUUCCUGGGCGUCACGC
rnacentral:rRNA from 2 species